AUUCUGCUCAUGCGGGGAAGGAUGAGAAGCUUCGACCAAGGUUCGACUCGAGCGCCAGCGAGAGAGCGUGGCCGCAGGCAACGACCCGAAGGGCGAAGCGCGCAGCGCUGAGUAAUCCUUCCCCCACCACCA
rnacentral:sRNA from 1 species